CCAUGCAGGGGAAAGACAUUCAGAGAAAGACUGUCUGAACAGGGGAAAGACAUUCAGAGAAAGCUCACCCAACUGCAGCUGGAUGAACUGAAAAAAAGGAAAAAGCCCCGGUGACAACAGUGAGCACUCCAGGGGAGGGCACCGCGGCACCAGUCCUCCAGGGGAGGGCACCGCGGCACCAGUCCUCCAGGGGAGGGCACCGCGGCACCAGUCCUCCAGGAAAGUACACGGGUGUCGGAGCAGAGGACGAUCAGCCCAGAGCAGUGGUUCCAGGAGACCAGGUCUACACCAGGGUCUUCAGGAGGAGGUGGAACGAGCCAAGACGAGAAGGCCCCUUCAAGGUGAUCCAAGCCACACCGACAACAGUAUGGGUGGAGGGCUGCGACACCUGGUAUCACCUCAACCCCUGUACCAAGGUCCCACGAGGAGCAGGUCAACAGGAGGGGGGUGAGGACGCUGAUGUUCCAGAUGGGGACAAAGAGCAAGAGGGGGAAGGCUUGGCACCCUCAGUGACCAAGGAAAUGGCCUCUGCGCCGGAGGAACCGAUGUCCCGCGGAGGAGAGACGUUGAGCCGGGGAAUGGAGAGUGACGACGGUCAGCCUGCUGCUGAACAUCUUGGGGCAGUGGCUGAUCCUACUGAUCCAAGGAGGGACGGGGCAGGAGACGGUGAAGGAGAUUGCUCAACCGAUCAUCACUAAGACCUUGAAGGACCAGAUGCUCCGGCACGGAGCCCCAGAGUCAAACCACGGUCCAGUGGUCAGUCCAGGUCCUGGAUAUCCGGGUCAGUGUGUGGACAAAUAUUGGAGCCCCUUGCACUGUCGACAGUGGACCCUCCCGCUACCCAUUUCGGGGUGCGGAUGAUCAGUUAAACCGGGUGUUGGACGUACUUGCAGGGACCAUUCACCCUUUAUCACAGGAGACAGUCUGCCUGGAGACAAAAGCACUCCGGCAAUGGACUCACAUGUGGACAGCAUUUAUGCCUAGAUGGAUGAUGUCUAUAUUCAAAUGGACGGUAAUUGCGCCCACCUGAACGGUUUGAUGGACGGCAACCUUCUAAUCCACUGCCGGAUGUUACUACUUAUGAUAGGCCAGUGCGUAGACUCUAUCCUUGUCCCUAUAAUAAGAGAGUCAUUGUCAGUACUGUAGCAAAGGAUAUUGUAAAAUG